rnacentral:lncRNA from 13 species
CUGACGAUGAGUACUGUGACGUUUUCUAGACUGUAAAUAACCCCGAGCAAUCAAUGUUCGUUUAUUAGUAGCAACGACUUGUUUCUAGAGACUACUACUUGGAUCACUCUCUGAAACCGAUAAGGUGUCUUGUUCCGAAUGUUGGAGACCUUACCGGAAACUGUACCGGAGAUGUUGGAUGGUGCAGUGCGUCUGUGUUGAAGAUUGACUAACCCGCAACUAUGGAUCCAUAUAAUGCUGAUGCGGAUGGGUUUUACAAGGGCGAUGAUUAUGGAUAUUUCCACUGGAAUGAAAAAUAUGGCCAUUGGGAGAGGUGGACCCUAAAAAACCAUGAGUACAUCUAUGAGUAUGCGUGCAAGUAUGAGAAUGAGAACGGCUAUUACAACCACCAGGAUCAACCUGGUCAAGGGGCCAACUGGGUAAAAGAGGCUGGUUCUUCUCAGAUUGUUGAUGCUCCUGCCCAUCUCCCCCUCCCUACGUCCUCUGAUCUCCCUCAGCAGAGCCCACAGGAGCAGCCUGGAGUCCUCACAGCAUUCCCUGGUUCUCUUGCAAAGUAAGUACUUUGUUCGUUAACACAGCAAUGACAUCUGCACAGCUACACUGUCCACAAGAUACAUUCAUGUUAGAAUUUGGAGUGCUAUGAUUACACUGAAGUUGAUUGAGAUAUUGGAUUACCCAGAGUACCUAGAUUGUGUUCAGAUCUGAAAUCUAAAGACAGUUUCGUAU